rnacentral:rRNA from 1 species
CACCGGCGCCUCGAGUGGGGAUCGCGAUUAUUGGGCCUAAAGCGUUCGUAGCAGGUUCUGUAAAUCUUUUGUGAAAUUGGCAGGCUUAACCUGCCAGCGUGCAGAGGACACUGCAGGACUCGAGACCGGGAGAGGUCAGAAGUAUUCCUUGGGUACCGGUAAAAUGGGUUAAUCCAAGGAGGACUACCAAUGGCGAAGGCAUCUGACCAGAACGGUUCUGACUGUGAGGAACGAAAGCUAGGGGAGCAAAACG